rnacentral:rRNA from 1 species
CGCAGGCGGUCUGUCAAGUCUGCUGUUAAAAGCGUGGAGCUUAACUCCAUUUCGGCAGUGGAAACUGACAGACUAGAGUGUGGUAGGGGCAGAGGGAAUUCCCGGUGUAGCGGUGAAAUGCGUAGAUAUCGGGAAGAACACCAGUGGCGAAGGCGCUCUGCUGGGCCAUAACUGACGCUCAUGGACGAAAGCCAGGGGAGCGAAAGGGAUUAGAUACCCCUGUAGUCCUGGCCGUAAACGAUGAACACUAGGUGUCGGGGGAAUCGACCCCCUCGGUGUCGUAGCCAACGCGUUAAGUGUUCCGCCUGGGGAGUACGCACGCAAGUGUGAAACUCAAAGGAAUUGACGGGGGCCCGCACAAGCGGUGGAGUAUGUGGUUUAAUUCGAUGCAACGCGAAGAACCUUACCAGGGUUUGACAUCCUGCGAAUCUCUUGGAAACGAGAGAGUGCCUUCGGGAACGCAGUGACAGGUGGUGCAUGGCUGUCGUCAGCUCGUGUCGUGAGAUGUUGGGUUAAGUCCCGCAACGAGCGCAACCCACGUCGUUAGUUGCCAGCAUUUAGUUGGGCACUCUAGCGAGACCGCCGGUGAUAAACCGGAGGAAGGUGUGGAUGACGUCAAGUCAUCAUGCCCCUUACAUCCUGGGCUACACACGUACUACAAUGCUACGGACAAAGGGCAGCAAACUCGCGAGAGCUAGCAAAUCCCAUAAACCGUGGCUCAGUUCAGAUCGUAGGCUGCAACUCGCCUACGUGAAGGAGGAAUCGCUAGUAAUCGCAGGUCAGCAUACUGCGGUGAAUACGUUCCCGGGCCUUGUACACACCGCCCGUCACACCAUGGAAGUUGGCCACGCCCGAAGCCGUUACUCCAACCCUUGUGGAGGAGGACGUCGAAGGUGGGGCUGAUGACUGGGGUGAAGUCGUAACAAGGUAGCCG